CAUUCGUGUCUAUACCUUAAACAUGUUCUAGGAACCGGUGGAAAAGAAUACUAGCAAUAUUGUCCAAUCAACAAGAUCAAGGUGGAGCAAGGAGGAACAGUCAGCAGAUUUCACAUUUAUUUUGCUAAAGCUGCAUGUUA